rnacentral:snRNA from 1 species
GUGCUCACUUCAGCAGCACAGAUCCUGAAAUCAGAAUGGUGCAGACAAGAUUGGCAUGCCUCUGUGCAAAGAUAACAUGCAAGUUAGUUCUUGAAGCAUUCUAUAUUUUC